AGUGAACGCUGGCGGUAGGCCUAACACAUACAAGUCGAACGGCAGCACAGUAAGAGCUUGCUCUUACGGGUGGCGAGUGGCGGACGGGUGAGGAAUACAUCGGAAUCUACUUUUUCGUGGGGGAUAACGUAGGGAAACUUACGCUAAUACCGCAUACGACCUACGGGUGAAAGCAGGGGAUCUUCGGACCUUGCGCGAUUGAAUGAGCCGAUGUCGGAUUAGCUAGUUGGCGGGGUAAAGGCCCACCAAGGCGACGAUCCGUAGCUGGUCUGAGAGGAUGAUCAGCCACACUGGAACUGAGACACGGUCCAGACUCCUACGGGAGGCAGCAGUGGGGAAUAUUGGACAAUGGGCGCAAGCCUGAUCCAGCCAUACCGCGUGGGUGAAGAAGGCCUUCGGGUUGUAAAGUCCUUUUGUUGGGAAAGAAAAGCAGCAGGUUAAUACCCCGCUGUUCUGACGGUACCCAAAGAAUAAGCACCGGCUAACUUCGUG
rnacentral:rRNA from 1 species